UUUAACCGACUUCCAAAAAAGGAGGAGGUUCUCAAUUCGACUGUAUUUUUUUAUGUAUGUUACAUCAGAACUUUUGACCGUGACGACCGAUUUCGACAAUUUUUUUUUAAUCGAAAGGUGGUGUGCCAAUUGGUCCCAUUUAAAUUUAUUUGAGAUCUAACUACUACUUUUCGAGUUAUAUCUAAUAAUGCGUUUUUACUUGACGCUUUUUUCGUCGACCAACGUUGUAUUAUACCGCAUAACUUUCUACUGGAUGUACCGAUUUUGAUAAUUCUUUUUUUGUUGGAAAGAGGAUAUCCCUAGUUUGGUACCGUGAUAAGGAAACCAGGAUCUGAUGAUGGGAUUCCAGAGAAAUCGAGGGAAACUCUCGAAAAUCCGUAACAACUUUUUACUGGGUGUACCGAUUUUGAUAAUUUUUAAUUUAAUCGAAAGCUGAUGUUUAUCAUGUGGUCACAUAUAAAUUUUAUCGAGAUCUGAUAACCACUUUUUGAGUA
rnacentral:misc_RNA from 1 species